UACAGAUUCAGUUACGAGGUGGCCUCGCGUGCUGCCGGCGCAGGUUUUAGGGGACAGUCUUAGAAAAGCUAAAAAAAAAAAAAAAAAGAAUGUUUCAAAGCAGUGACUACUGAAAGAGCAUCUAGGCCUUCUAUUUUGUCAGGAGGAAUUCAACUCACAAAAUGCAGGUGCCCUCAGAAGGAUGCUCUCUAUCCUCCUCUCCUCGGCAGACUGGCCUAAUGAACCUGCAUUUGGAACAAGAUCCAGUACUGAAGUCAUAUCAUUGAGUUACAUCCCCCAACACUACUGUGUUCAGACUAAAAAAUGAGGUCCUUUUUCUAUUUGCUUACUCAGUUUGGGCAAAAUUCAAUGUUAGUCAGUGGAAGAAAGAGAUGAGUGCAGGUUUAUCCUGGCAAAUCCUAAAG